GAUGAACGCUGGCGGCGUGCCUAAUACAUGCAAGUCGAGCGAACAGACGAGGAGCUUGCUCCUCUGACGUUAGCGGCGGACGGGUGAGUAACACGUGGAUAACCUACCUAUAAGACUGGGAUAACUUCGGGAAACCGGAGCUAAUACCGGAUAAUAUAUUGAACCGCAUGGUUCAAUAGUGAAAGACGGUCUUGCUGUCACUUAUAGAUGGAUCCGCGCCGCAUUAGCUAGUUGGUAAGGUAACGGCUUACCAAGGCAACGAUGCGUAGCCGACCUGAGAGGGUGAACGGCCACACUGGAACUGAGAAACGGGCCAGACUCCUAAGGGAGGCAGCAGGAGGGAAUCUUACGCAAUGGGCGAAAGCCUGACGGAGCAAAGCCGGGGGAGUGAUGAAGGUCUUCGGAUCGGUAAACCUUGGUAUUAGGGAAGAACAAAUGUGUAAGUAACUAGGCACGUCUUGACGGUACCUAAUCAGAAAGCCACGGCUAACUACGUG
rnacentral:rRNA from 1 species